rnacentral:rRNA from 1 species
AAGCCCCAGUAAACGGCGGCCGUAACUAUAACGGUCCUAAGGUAGCGAAAUUCCUUGUCGGGUAAGUUCCGACCCGCACGAAAGGCGUAACGAUUUGGGCACUGUCUCAACGAGAGACUCGGUGAAAUCAUAGUACCGGUGAAGAUGCCGGUUACCCGCGACAGGACGGAAAGACCCCGUGGAGCUUUACUGUAGCCUGAUAUUGAAAUUCGGUACAGUUUGUACAGGAUAGGUAGGAGCCUUAGAAGCGUGAGCGCUAGCUUACGUGGAGGCAUUGGUGGGAUACUACCCUAAUUGUAUUGGAUUUCUAACCCGCAGCACUUAUCGUGCUGGGAGACAGUGUCAGGCGGGCAGUUUGACUGGGGCGGUCGCCUCCUAAAGAGUAACGGAGGCGCUCAAAGGUUCCCUCAGAAUGGUUGGAAAUCAUUCAUAGAGUGUAAAGGCAUAAGGGAGCUUGACUGCGAGACCUACAAGUCGAGCAGGGUCGAAAGACGGACUUAGUGAUCCGGUGGUUCCGCAUGGAAGGGCCAUCGCUCAACGGAUAAAAGCUACCCCGGGGAUAACAGGCUUAUCUCCCCCAAGAGUUCACAUCGACGGGGAGGUUUGGCACCUCGAUGUCGGCUCAUCGCAUCCUGGGGCUGUAGUCGGUCCCAAGGGUUGGGCUGUUCGCCCAUUAAAGCGGUACGCGAGCUGGGUUCAGAACGUCGUGAGACAGUUCGGUCCCUAUCCGUCGUGGGCGUAGGAAAUUUGAGAGGAGCUGUCCUUAGUACGAGAGGACCGGGAUGGACAUACCUCUGGUGUACCAGUUGUCGUGCCAACGGCAUAGCUGGGUAGCUAUGUAUGGACGGGAUAAGUGCUGAAAGCAUCUAAGCAUGAAGCCCCCCU